CAUACCCCUGGAGGGACUGUAGGUGUGGCUGCAAUGUCAAAAAGUGCAUCAGUAGGUAUCAGAGAGGAAAGAGGCUAUUUUUAUGCUCAGUGUUCUGACCAGUGGAAAUCUAAAUGAUUAGUAGCUUGAUACU